rnacentral:rRNA from 1 species
AUGAACGCUGGCGGCGUGCCUAAUACAUGCAAGUCGAGCGAACGGACGAGAAGCUUGCUUCUCUGAUGUUAGCGGCGGACGGGUGAGUAACACGUGGAUAACCUACCUAUAAGACUGGGAUAACUUCGGGAAACCGGAGCUAAUACCGGAUAAUAUUUUGAACCGCAUGGUUCAAAAGUGAAAGACGGUCUUGCUGUCACUUAUAGAUGGAUCCGCGCUGCAUUAGCUAGUUGGUAAGGUAACGGCUUACCAAGGCAACGAUGCAUAGCCGACCUGAGAGGGUGAUCGGCCACACUGGAACUGAGACACGGUCCAGACUCCUACGGGAGGCAGCAGUAGGGAAUCUUCCGCAAUGGGCGAAAACCUGACGGAGCAACGCCGCGUGAGUGAUGAAGGUCUUCGGAUCGUAAAACUCUGUUAUUAGGGAAGAACAUAUGUGUAAGUAACUGUGCACAUCUUGACGGUACCUAAUCAGAAAGCCACGGCUAACUACGUG